rnacentral:rRNA from 1 species
CCUACGGGAGGCAGCAGUGAGGAAUAUUGGUCAAUGGCCGGAAGGCUGAACCAGCCAAGUCGCGUGAGGGACGACUGCCCUAUGGGUUGUAAACCUCUUUUAUAAGGGAAGAAUAAAUUCUACGUGUAGCAUGAUGCCUUUACCUUAUGAAUAAGCAUCGGCUAACUCCGGGCCAGCAGCCGCGGUAAUACGGUGGAUGCGAGCGUUGAGUGGAAUUACUGGGCGGAAAGCGCCCGUAGGCGGUAUGUCAAGUCAAGGGUGAAAUCCCCGCGCUCAACGUGGGAACUGCAUUUGAAACUGGCAAACGGGAGUGUGUGAGAGGAUAGUGGAAUGCCAGGGGUAGGAGUGAAAUCCGUAGAUAUCUGGAGGAACAUCAGUGGCGAAGGCGACUAUCUGGCACAUAACUGACGCUGAGGAGCGAAAGCGUGGGUAGCAAACAGGAUUAGAUACCCGUGUAGUC